GACGAACGCUGGCGGCGUGCUUAACACAUGCAAGUCGAACGGAAAGGCCCUGCUUUUGUGGGGUGCUCGAGUGGCGAACGGGUGAGUACACGUGAGUAACCUGCCCUUGACUUUGGGAUAACUUCAGGAAACUGGGGCUAAUACCGGAUAGGAGCUCCUGCUGCAUGGUGGGGGUUGGAAAGUUUCGGCGGUUGGGGAUGGACUCGCGGCUUAUCAGCUUGUUGGUGGGGUAGUGGCUUACCAAGGCUUUGACGGGUAGCCGGCCUGAGAGGGUGACCGGCCACAUUGGGACUGAGAUACGGCCCAGACUCCUACGGGAGGCAGCAGUGGGGAAUAUUGCACAAUGGGCGGAAGCCUGAUGCAGCAACGCCGCGUGCGGGAUGACGGCCUUCGGGUUGCAAACCGCUUUCGCCUGUGACGAAGCGUGAGUGACGGUAAUGGGUAAAGAAGCACCGGCUAACUACGUG
rnacentral:rRNA from 1 species